ensembl:lncRNA LINC02505 long intergenic non-protein coding RNA 2505
CUCAGCCUCCGGAGCAGCUGGGAUUACAGGCGCCCGCCAUCACGCCCAGGUUCUCCUUCUCUCCUCUAUCCUGCCACUUUGUGAAGAAGGUGCUUGCUUCUCCUUCACCUUCCACCAUGAUUGUAAGUUUCCUGAGGCCUCCCCAGCCAUGUGGAACUAAAAAUAGAAUAUAAAAACUUCUCUACUCCUGACUCACCAACGCACCAGAACAACUUUUAGUCCUGCAAUCAUGAAGCAUUGAUUGAACAUCUUCUACAUAUUAUCACCACCCUAGACACUACAACAACAAAGAAGUCAAUACUAGUUUCAAUUUGUGGAAAGCUGGAAAUGCGAUGAUUCCCAUGCCCUGAGUUUCUGCUCCAGACACCAGGUGGGGGCAUGGCAAUUGUGACUGGAGAGAGUGGAGGGGUCAUCUUAUCCACCACAUCAGAAGCUGAGGUUAGGAUAUUGUGGCAAGAGAUGAAAAGUGAAGUGAUGUGAGGAAACUUCAUCCUGAAUUCAACUAAAGCCCUGGAAUACUUGUUCAAAUAACCAGCUGACAACUUGGGGUUAAGCUGUCUUGAAUUUAACCUGUUUAGCUCAGCCAAUACAAUUAUGAAAUAAAAAGUUAACAGUCUACUAUUUUGUAGUCCCUGGAUAAAGAGGCCUAAAUGGUAUCCUGUAAAGUUAUGCAGAGUACUAUCUGCAUAGAUCUAGUCAAUGACCUUGGCUAGUAGCAUCAUUUGGUUUCCAGCUUUAUGUGCAUCAAUUCUUCUUUAUAUGCAGUAGUUAAUUUAAUGCACCAUAUAUCUUAUCUCUAACUCCUUGGGAAACAUUUGAAUUUAGUUAUUUUCCAUUCUACUAUUGAGAAUCUGUCUUCACAAGUCACAUAGCACUGUUACAAACACAAAUCACUUGGCGUACACAAUCCAAAUUAAGUAUACAUUUUGCCUGUGUUGCUAUUUCAUGGUAAAUUUUAUUUUCCAUUUUCUUAUUUUCAUUUUCUGUCUUUUAUUACCUUCUGAUGACACUGAAAUGCCUAAAGAAGUAGAUAAAUAUCUUGUUCUAACUUUGCUGAUUAAAAAGAAAACAGUUAAGCCUUGUACAUUUCACAGUAAUGAAGAAAGACUCACAAACAUUUUAUCAGGUCUGAAAAUUUGUCACCAGAUGUAUGUGGAAACUGUCUUGGUGAACCUGCCUUCAUGCAAAUUUGAAACAUCUUAUUAAACUUAAAAAUAAA